CUCCUGUCAAUAUGUUGGGGUUAGGGUUUUGGGUGUAAAAGGAUUGGAAUCCGCCAUUGCACCCCAUUGUAUUCGAUCGAGCCACCAGAGACGGCUUAUCAACGAGUUCGCUACGAUCGCCGAGUUGCCGCAGUUGAAAGUCCGUCGCGCCGAUUUCAUGUACUUGGCGUAGGUCGUCACCAGGAAUGUUAUGGAUGUCACAUACUGCAGAUUACUCUGAGGGCUCCAAGGUGCUGUCUCUGUUCAGCAAUGCUCGCUGCCAAAGGAACAAGCUUUUGAUCAAGGAACCAACCAAGCUGAUCCCCGCCUCCUAAGGAUGUUAUGAAGCUCGCGUAAUAACGAUUGUUGGUUGCUCUAAGCAGCCAUGCUGCUCCCCACAUCAACUCAUCCUAUCAUCACAACCUUGACUGGUUAAGAGUCUAAAGAUGAUGGCCAGGAAACAUAAAAGAUGUGAAAACACACCUUGUAACCAGAGUAGGAGCAGUAGAAAGGACAAACUGCAGAAGCAAGGGAAUCGCUGUAAG